CCAAACUUGGUCAUUUAGAGGAAGUAAAAGUCGUAACAAGGUCUCCGUAGGUGAACCUGCGGAGGGAUCAUUACCGAGCGAGGGCGCCCGGCGUCCGACCUCCCACCCUUUGUUAGACCACAUCUCGUCAAAGUUGCCUCGGGGGUGACCCAGCCAGCCCCCCCUUAUGCGGGUCUGGGGCCCCCCCCCGGCGACCGUCUAUCAACCCUGCAUUCCGACAUCUGAGUUUUUAGUGAAUCGAAUCAAAACUUUCAACAACGGAUCUCUUGGUUCCGGCAUCGAUGAAGAACGCAGC
rnacentral:misc_RNA from 1 species